AGCAGCCGCGGUAAUUCCAGCUCCAAUAGCGUAUAUUAAAGUUGUUGCAGUUAAAAAGCUCGUAGUUGAAUUUCGGGAUCAGUACGCUGGUCAUGCCUUUGGUAUGCACUGGUGUCACUGGUUUCUCCCUUCUGAAGAACCGUGAUGUCAUUAAUUUGGUGUCGCGGGGAAUCAGGACUGUUACUUUGAAAAAUUAGAGUGUUUAAAGCAGGCUCACGCUUGAAUACAUUAGCAUGGAAUAAUGAAAUAGGACGUUUGACCCUAUUUUGUUGGUUUCUAGGAUCGACGUAAUGAUUAAUAGGGAUAGUUGGGGGCACUAGUAUUCAAUUGUCAGAGGUGAAAUUCUUGGAUUUAUUGAAGACUAACUACUGCGAAAGCAUUUGCCAAGGAUGUUUUCAUUAAUCAAGAACGAAAGUUAGGGGAUCGAAGACGAUCAGAUACCGUCGUAGUCUUAACCAUAAACUAUGCCGACUAGGGAUCGGAUGAUGUUAAUUUUAUAAUGA
rnacentral:rRNA from 1 species